rnacentral:rRNA from 1 species
AGAGUUUGAUCAUGGCUCAGGAUGUACGCUGGCGGUAUGCCUAACACAUGCAAGUCGAACGAUGUCUUCGGACAUAGUGGCGGACGGGUGAGUAACGCGUGAGAAUCUGCCUCUAGGAUGGGGAUAACGGUUGGAAACGACCGCUAACACCCAAUAUGCCGUAAGGUGAAAAAUUUAUUGCCUGGAGAGGAGCUCGCGUCUGAUUAGCUAGUUGGUGGGGUAAGAGCUCACCAAGGCUUCGAUCAGUAGCUGGUCUGAGAGGAUGAGCAGCCACACUGGGACUGAGACACGGCCCAGACUCCUACGGGAGGCAGCAGUGGGGAAUUUUCCGCAAUGGGCGAAAGCCUGACGAAGCAAUACCGCGUGAGGGAGGAAUGCCUUUGGGUUGUAAACCUCUUUUCUCAGGGAAGAAGAUCUGACGGUACCUGAGGAAUAAGUAUCGGCUAACUCCGUGCCAGCAGCCGCGGUAAUACGGAGGAUGCAAGCGUUAUCCGGAAUCAUUGGGCGUAAAGCGUCCGCAGGUGGUUUCCAAAGUCUGCUGUUAAAGACUGGAGCUCAACUCCGGAACGGCGGUGGAAACUUGGAAACUAGAGUUCGGUAGGGGUAGCAGGAAUUCCCAGUGUAGCGGUGAAAUGCGUAGAUAUUGGGAAGAACAUCGGUGGCGAAGGCGUGCUACUGGACCGUAACUGACACUCAGGGACGAAAGCUAGGGGAGCGAAAGGGAUUAGAUACCCCUGUAGUCCUAGCUGUAAACGAUGGAAACUAGGUGUGGCUNGUAUCGACCCGAGCCGUGCCGUANCUNACGCGUUAAGUUUCCCGCCUGGGGAGUACGCACGCAAGUGUGAAACUCAAAGGAAUUGACGGGGGCCCGCACAAGCGG